rnacentral:lncRNA from 1 species
GACAUGGAGAUACAGGCAUAGGCAGAGGCAUGGACUUGGAAGGGGUUUCAAAGAGGCAGUAUGGUGAAACAGGAGGAGCCCUGCCUGGCUGGUCUCCCUUCAAUGUCACUCCGCAGAACUCCAAGGUAUGGCCACUUUGUUUAAGCCACUUGCAUCAAUGCCCUGUCCUCCAACAGUACUUUUAAGAAAUGGUAUACAAUUCGUUUAUCUUGGGCUCACUUGACGAGCUUCAAACUUCGGACUCUAGAAUAGCUAAUUAAACUGCAUGGGAAUAUUGGGAAAAUAAUAAGUUAAAUAUGUAAAAGGUAAGAUUGUUGUAUUAGAUUAAUAACCACCACAGAUUUAAAUUCUUAAGCGCAACCAUAUCAGUGGAACCAUUGCUUUUGGCUUUAUUUUAUUAUUAUUAUUUUUUGAGACAGAGUCUCGCUUUGUUCCCCAGGCUAGAGUGAGUGCUAUGGCAUCGGCCUAGCUCACAGCAACCUCAAACUCCUGGGCUUAAGCAAUCCUGCUGCCUCAGCCUCCCGAGGAUCUGGGACUACAGGCAUGUGCCAC